AUUCCAGCUCCAAUAGCGUAUAUUAAAGUUGUUGCGGUUAAAAAGCUCGUAGUUGGAUCUCGGCGGGCAGGGGGUGGUUCGCUCUUCAGCGCUACUGCCCCGCUUUGCCCGUGUGAUUGGCGGAGGUUUCGGGGUGCUCUUCGUUGAGUGACUCGGAGCGCCGUCAGGUUUACUUUGAAAAAAUUAGAGUGCUCAAAGCAGGCUUUUCACGCUUGAAUAUUCGUGCAUGGAAUAAUGGAAUAGGAACUCGUUUCUAUUUUGUUGGUUUUCGGAAAUCGAGUUAAUGAUUAACAGGGACAAUUGGGGGCAUUAGUAUUCAGACGACAGAGGUGAAAUUCUUGGACCGUCUGAAGACUGACUACUGCGAAAGCAUUUGCCAAGAGUGUUUUCAUCA
rnacentral:rRNA from 1 species